rnacentral:rRNA from 1 species
UACGUAGGGUGCGAGCGUUAAUCGGAAUUACUGGGCGUAAAGCGUGCGCAGGCGGUUUUGUAAGCCAGAUGUGAAAUCCCCGGGCUCAACCUGGGAAUCGGCAUUUGGGACUGCAAGGCUGGAGUACGGCAGAGGAGACUGGAAUUCCUGGUGUAGCAGUGAAAUGCGUAGAUAUCAGGAGGAAUACCGAUGGCGAAGGCAGGUCUCUGGGACUGAUACUGACGCUCAUGCACGAAAGCGUGGGGAG